GCUUAACACAUGCAAGUCGAGGGGAAACGGCAUUGGGUGCUUGCACUCUUUGGACGUCGACCGGCGCACGGGUGAGUAACGCGUAUCCACCUUCCCAUUACUGUGGGAUAACCUGCCGAAAGGCAGACUAAUACCGCAUAGUCUUCGAUGACGGCAUCAGAUUUGAAGUAAAGAUUUAUCGGUAAUGGAUGGGGAUGCGUCUGAUUAGCUUGUUGGCGGGGUAACGGCCCACCAAGGCGACGAUCAGUAGGGGUUCUGAGAGGAAGGUCCCCCACAUUGGAACUGAGACACGGUCCAAACUCCUACGGGAGGCAGCAGUGAGGAAUAUUGGUCAAUGGACGGAAGUCUGAACCAGCCAAGUAGCGUGCAGGAUGACGGCCCUAUGGGUUGUAAACUGCUUUUGUAUGGGGAUAAAGUUAGGGACGUGUCCCUAUUUGCAGGUACCAUACGAAUAAGGACCGGCUAAUUCCGUGCCAGCAGCCGCGGUAAUACGGAAGGUCCAGGCGUUAUCCGGAUUUAUUGG
rnacentral:rRNA from 1 species